UACGUAGGGUGCAAGCGUUAAUCGGAAUUACUGGGCGUAAAGCGUGCGCAGGCGGUUGUGUAAGACAGAUGUGAAAUCCCCGGGCACACCUGGGAACUGCAUUUGUGACUGCACGGCUGGAGUGCGGCAGAGGGGGAUGGAAUUCCGCGUGUAGCAGUGAAAUGCGUAGAUAUGCGGAGGAACACCGAUGGCGAAGGCAAUCCCCUGGGCCUGCACUGACGCUCAUGCACGAAAGCGUGGGGAGCAAACAGG
rnacentral:rRNA from 1 species